UCAAAAGGCUAAUCUCUUUUGUUUAGACUUAUAGUUUGACUUAUUUGGACCAGCCAGAUCCGUUUAUCAGGUCUAUAAUUUUUUUUUAUAAUAUUCUCUUAAGUGUUUUUGAAGAGAAGAAAAUAAGUUGAUAUAUUUUCUCUAAUCUUGUCUUCAGUCUUGUAUAGGAGCCGAGAAGAAAAGAAAAGAAAAUAUACACUUUUACUAAUUUAGUAUGUUAGUACCUUAGGACAUGGAUGAAAUUAAAAUAAAUUGAAUUCAGUUAAAAAAAUUAAGAGCAAAAUUAGUUUAAAAGUUUUGAUGAUCGGACCUAAGGUUAAUCAUCAAAAAAAUUUGCAACAACUCUCUAGCUUUUCAGUCGAUCGCGUUAAUAAUGUGCUUUUGAAUACAGAAGUACCAGUUGUGGCUUUGAAAUCGGGAUCGAGAUGGGGAUGGGGAUGGGGAGAGGGAUCGGUCGGGUAGGAGCUAGGAGGAUGAGGUUGAACGCCAGAGAUGAUAACUUAGAGGAGGAGGAGAGUGUGAAUGAUGAAGAAGAUGACGAUGAUGAUAGCUUAUGAAAGCAAUUGAACCUCUUAGUCAGUGGUGGUGUUGGCUCGGUUUGACCAAUUUCGUAUACUUUCCUACUAGUUAUGGCUUUGAAAUCUUGGGUGUUGUAUUUCAAUUAUCAGAUUUGAUUGUUAUUGUUUUGCUAUUGAUUUAUUGGAUUUGUUUUCUCAUAUUUGCUCUCCAAUUUUACCUGCUCCUUUAGGAUUUGGGCUGGUAGGGGGUUAUUCCCCAUGUUUGAUUUCUCAUUUUGUUUAUUAUUGAAAUCCAAUUUGUUGGGGUUUUUUUCCUUCCAAAUUCCCAUGAUUUUCUCUGUUUUUCCGAUCUCAAGUUCCUAUUCACUCUCCUUUCGCUUUGCCCCAGUGUCGUUUCUAGUAUGAGCAGGAUUUUCAGAAAGUGCAGUCUGAAGUAGCAUUGCGCCAUGAGAAGCAAGACUGCGGCUUCUCUCUGCUUCAUCAGUGUCUGAACUAAUACUUUUAGUUUCAGAUCUUGAUCUUUCUGUUAUGGUCAAUUGUUGAUGUUCUAGCUUGGUUGUGGAAAACGAACUUAUGCUCUUCUUGCUGAUCAAUGUUAUAAUUGCUUUAAGAUCCUUACUAUGUCAAGGCUAUGUCUUUGAUGAUCGAUACUUGUUACUUUUCCCAUUAUUUAUUCAUUAUGCCCAUUUGAAGUUAUGAUCUGUUAGCUAGGAUGGAUGGAUUUUUUGGGUUGGGCUUUAUCAGAUCUUCAUGUUUGCCUGUGUUGGGGGAUUUGGAUGUACGUUGGUUCUUGUUCGAAUUGAUCUUGCCGAAAAUUGGGUUCAGUCAUGUGGCUUCGGUCUUGUCGGAAACUGGGUUUCGU
rnacentral:lncRNA from 1 species